rnacentral:rRNA from 1 species
CCUACGGGGGGCAUCAGUGGGGAAUAUUGGACAAUGGGCGAAAGCCUGAUCCAGCCAUGCCGCGUGUGUGAAGAAGGCCUUCGGGUUGUAAAGCACUUUCAGUGGGGAAGAAAGCCUUGGGGCUAAUACCCUCGAGGAAGGACAUCACCCACAGAAGAAGCACCGGCUAACUCCGUGCCAGCAGCCGCGGUAAUACGGAGGGUGCGAGCGUUAAUCGGAAUUACUGGGCGUAAAGCGCGCGUAGGCGGUCUGAUAAGCCGGUUGUGAAAGCCCCGGGCUCAACCUGGGAACGGCAUCCGGAACUGUCAGGCUAGAGUGCAGGAGAGGAAGGUAGAAUUCCCGGUGUAGCGGUGAAAUGCGUAGAGAUCGGGAGGAAUACCAGUGGCGAAGGCGGCCUUCUGGACUGACACUGACGCUGAGGUGCGAAAGCGUGGGUAGCAAACAGGAUUAGAUACCCCAGUAGUC